UACGUAGGGGGCAAGCGUUGUCCGGAUUUAUUGGGGGUAAAGAGCGUGUAGGCGGCCACACAGGUCAGCUGUGAAAACUCGAGGCUCAACCUCGAGACGUCGGUUGAAACCGUAUGGCUAGAGUCCGGAAGAGGAGAGUGGAAUUCCCGGUGUAGCGGUGAAAUGCGCAGAUAUCGGGAAGAACACCCGUGGCGAAGGCGGCUCUCUGGGACGGUACUGACGCUGAGACGCGAAAGCGUGGGGAGCGAACAGG
rnacentral:rRNA from 1 species